UUCAUGGGUGACAAGUAGGCUGGCCCUGGA
rnacentral:piRNA from 1 species